UGUGGGUGCCACCGCCGUUCCAUUUGGCUGCAGCUGAAAACGUAUGAUCCGGUUGGAACGUUAUUGGAUAUAUAUGAAAAUAACAUCCUGAAGAUUGAUUCUCUACUUAGUUUGACCAGUUUAUUCGACCUGGAAUAUAUCUUUUUGAAGUUUUCGUGCGAGUUGUCCUGGACCAGCGUCAGCUUUUGGGCUUGUGAGCUGAAAGUGAUAGCAAAUGCAGCUAAUUGGACACUAGUAUUGGACAUUAUGGAACAAAACAACGAUUUAUUGUGGAACUAGGACUCCUUGCACUGCAUUCUGAUGAAAGAUCAUAAAAGAGAAGAUGAUGAUGUUUGGGAGCAAACCACCCCCAGCAAGUGCACCCGCCGGUCUUCACCCUCCUCUGCCAGAUCCACAACCCCUGGAUCGGAUCCCCAAGGUUGCUGGAUCGGAUUCCCAAGCUGACAAGGCCCUGGCUCCUCGCCCCUCUCAGCCAGUUAAUCUAGAACUGCCAGGGCCUCUCAGAGAAGAGGGAGGAACAGAGCUAGGGCCACUGGAAACAGCACCGGAAACACCACAAUAGAGGGAGAUGAACCUGAGCACAGAUGGCAUACAGUCAUUAUAGAUUGUGGAGCCAAUACCACCCAGGUUCAGACCCACAGUUUGAUAGUACUCAAACAUACAACCCCUUCCAGCUGUUUCAGCUGUACUCAACAAUCUCUGUGCUGGGGACACUAGUAUCCAAUAGCAACAAGUAUGGGGACAAGAAGCAGCAGAGGGGGAAGAAGAUGAACUGACAUGCUCUCGUACAUUUCCCUGGUACUAUACAUGGACUGGCAAAGGUAUCAAGUUCCCUGCCUCAUGAAUGAAAACCAUUUCUUGGCUUUCAACUGUACUCG